rnacentral:rRNA from 1 species
CAGCCCCUCGAGUGGUGGGGAUGAUUAUUUGGCCUAAAGCGUCCGUAGCCGGCCGAGUAAGUCCCCCGUUAAAUCCAGCGUCUCAAGCGUUGGACUGCGGGAAAUACUGCCUGGCUAGAGAGUGGGAGAGGUCAGCGGUAUUCUGGGGGUAGGGGCGAAAUCCUUUGAUCCCCGGAGGACCACCAGUGGCGAAGGCUGCUGACUAGAACACGUCUGACGGUCAGGGACGAAAGCUGGGGUAGCGAACCGGAUUAGAGACCCGAGUAGUCC